CUGCCUCUCCACUGCUUGUGUUCUCUCUCUCUCUCUCAAAAUAAAUAAACUUAAAAAAAUAAAAUGAACGGAAGCCUGUUCAACCCAGGGUAAUUGGAAAGGACUUUAGAUUGGUUUGUGUACCCUUCAGUGACUGCAGGGGACUGACUAGGAUGGCCCUGGGUCCUGAUUAGCUCUACCAAACCAGACUUCGGUACCUGGUUCUGCUUCCUCCUUGUAGGAUGGGAACAUGACUUCCUGCUGCACCCACUUCCUCUCUCUGCCUUGCUCUUCGGGGCCUUCCCCACUUUCUUUUUUUUCUCCUCUCUUCCCUGCCCAUGAUGUCUCAGGCCUGCCAACACUGCUCACUGGCGUCAAGGCUCACUCCCACCUCUGCCACUGUGGCUGUGGCUCUCUUGGUACCCUUAGUGCCAAUCCAGGCAAAGUUCAAGAAAGAUUGGUGCCCCAGAGAGGACAGCACAAGUGAUAGAACCCAGAAGAGACGGAGGCAUCUUCGUAUCCAGGCCAACCAUUCAGGCGUCACUGUGAGAGGGAAGCAGAAAGUUAAUGAAAAUUUGACUCGUUGGACUUGAGGCACUGUUCUAAGCUCUUCACCCAUAUUAACUUACUUUAUUCUUACAACCACCACCCAAGAAGUUGUUACUAUAGUCAUACCUAUUUUCCAGAUGAGGAAAUCGAGGCACUGAGGUAAGCAACUUGACCAAACUUAGACAACUAUGAAGAUGCCAGUAUGCAAAACCAGACAAUCUAGUCUGUGCUUUGUUAUACAGCUUAACCUUUUUUUUUUUUUUUUUUUUUAAGCUUAUUUACUUAUUUUGAG